rnacentral:rRNA from 1 species
UUGGAGGGCAAGUCUGGUGCCAGCAGCCGCGGUAAUUCCAGCUCCAAUAGCGUAUAUUAAAGUUGUUGCAGUUAAAAAGCUCGUAGUUGAAUUUCGGAAUCAGUACGUUGGUCGUGCCUUAGGUACGUACUGGUGUUACUGGUUUCUACCUUCUGACGAACCAUUAUGUCAUUCAUUUGGUGUGGCGGGGAAUCAGGACUGUUACUUUGAAAAAAUUAGAGUGUUUAAAGCAGGCUCGCGCUUGAAUACAUUAGCAUGGAAUAAUGAAAUAGGACGUUGAUCCUAUUUUGUUGGUUUCUAGGAUUGACGUAAUGAUUAAUAGGGAUAGUUGGGGGCAUUAGUAUUCAAUUGUCAGAGGUGAAAUUCUUGGAUUUAUUGAAGACUAACUACUGCGAAAGCAUUUGCCAAGGAUGUUUUCAUUAAUCAAGAACGAAAGUUAGGGGAUCGAAGACGAUCAGAUACCGUCGUAGUCUUAACCAUAAACUAUGCCGACUAGGGAUCGGAUGAUGUUAUUUUUAAUGACUCAUUCGGCGCCUUACGGGAAAC